GGAACCCGGUGCAAGACCGGGACGGUCCCGCCACUGUGACGCCCCGUUCACCCGGGCGAAGUCAGGAAC
rnacentral:ncRNA from 2 species